rnacentral:rRNA from 1 species
GAUGAACGCUGGCGGCGUGCCUAAUACAUGCAAGUCGAGCGAACAGACGAGGAGCUUGCUCCUCUGACGUUAGCGGCGGACGGGUGAGUAACACGUGGAUAACCUAUCUAUAAGACUGGGAUAACUUCGGGAAACCGGAGCUAAUACCGGAUAAUAUAUUGAACCGCAUGGUUCAAUAGUGAAAGACGGUUUUGCUGUCACUUAUAGAUGGAUCCGCGCCGCAUUAGCUAGUUGGUAAGGUAACGGCUUACCAAGGCAACGAUGCGUAGCCGACCUGAGAGAGUAAGCGGCCACACUGGAACUGAGACACGGUCCAGACUCCUACGGGAGGCAGCAGUAGGGAAUCUUCCGCAAUGGGCGGAAGCCUGACGGAGCAACGCCGCGUGAGUGAUGAAGGUCUUCGGAUCGUAAAACUCUGUUAUUAGGGAAGAACAAAUGUGUAAGUAACUAUGCACGUCUUGACGGUACCUAAUCAGAGAGCCACGGCUAACUACGUG